GGGUUGUGAGGUUAAGCGACUAAGCGUACACGGUGGAUGCCCUGGCAGUCAGAGGCGAUGAAGGACGUGCUAAUCUGCGAUAAGCGUCGGUAAGGUGAUAUGAACCGUUAUAACCGGCGAUUUCCGAAUGGGGAAACCCAGUGUGUUUCGACACACUAUCAUUAACUGAAUCCAUAGGUUAAUGAGGCGAACCGGGGGAACUGAAACAUCUAAGUACCCCGAGGAAAAGAAAUCAACCGAGAUUCCCCCAGUAGCGGCGAGCGAACGGGGAGCAGCCCAGAGCCUGAAUCAGUGUGUGUGUUAGUGGAAGCGUCUGGAAAGGCGUGCGAUACAGGGUGACAGCCCCGUACACAAAAAUGCACAUGCUGUGAGCUCGAUGAGUAGGGCGGGACACGUGGUAUCCUGUCUGAAUAUGGGGGGACCAUCCUCCAAGGCUAAAUACUCCUGACUGACCGAUAGUGAACCAGUACCGUGAGGGAAAGGCGAAAAGAACCCCGGCGAGGGGGAGUGAAAAAGAACCUGAAACCGUGUACGUACAAGCAGUGGGAGCACGCUUAGGCGUGUGACUGCGUACCUUUUGUAUAAUGGGUCAGCGACUUAUAUUCUGUAGCAAGGUUAACCGAAUAGGGGAGCCGAAGGGAAACCGAGUCUUAACUGGGCGUUAAGUUGCAGGGUAUAGACCCGAAACCCGGUGAUCUAGCCAUGGGCAGGUUGAAGGUUGGGUAACACUAACUGGAGGACCGAACCGACUAAUGUUGAAAAAUUAGCGGAUGACUUGUGGCUGGGGGUGAAAGGCCAAUCAAACCGGGAGAUAGCUGGUUCUCCCCGAAAGCUAUUUAGGUAGCGCCUCGUGAAUUCAUCUCCGGGGGUAGAGCACUGUUUCGGCAAGGGGGUCAUCCCGACUUACCAACCCGAUGCAAACUGCGAAUACCGGAGAAUGUUAUCACGGGAGACACACGGCGGGUGCUAACGUCCGUCGUGAAGAGGGAAACAACCCAGACCGCCAGCUAAGGUCCCAAAGUCAUGGUUAAGUGGGAAACGAUGUGGGAAGGCCCAGACAGCCAGGAUGUUGGCUUAGAAGCAGCCAUCAUUUAAAGAAAGCGUAAUAGCUCACUGGUCGAGUCGGCCUGCGCGGAAGAUGUAACGGGGCUAAACCAUGCACCGAAGCUGCGGCAGGUUGUUGGGUAGGGGAGCGUUCUGUAAGCCUGUGAAGGUGUACUGUGAGGUAUGCUGGAGGUAUCAGAAGUGCGAAUGCUGACAUAAGUAACGAUAAAGCGGGUGAAAAGCCCGCUCGCCGGAAGACCAAGGGUUCCUGUCCAACGUUAAUCGGGGCAGGGUGAGUCGACCCCUAAGGCGAGGCCGAAAGGCGUAGUCGAUGGGAAACAGGUUAAUAUUCCUGUACUUGGUGUUACUGCGAAGGGGGGACGGAGAAGGCUAUGUUGGCCGGGCGACGGUUGUCCCGGUUUAAGCGUGUAGGCUGGUUUUCCAGGCAAAUCCGGAAAAUCAAGGCUGAGGCGUGAUGACGAGGCACUACGGUGCUGAAGCAACAAAUGCCCUGCUUCCAGGAAAAGCCUCUAAGCAUCAGGUAACAUCAAAUCGUACCCCAAACCGACACAGGUGGUCAGGUAGAGAAUACCAAGGCGCUUGAGAGAACUCGGGUGAAGGAACUAGGCAAAAUGGUGCCGUAACUUCGGGAGAAGGCACGCUGAUAUGUAGGUGAAGUCCCUCGCGGAUGGAGCUGAAAUCAGUCGAAGAUACCAGCUGGCUGCAACUGUUUAUUAAAAACACAGCACUGUGCAAACACGAAAGUGGACGUAUACGGUGUGACGCCUGCCCGGUGCCGGAAGGUUAAUUGAUGGGGUCAGCGCAAGCGAAGCUCUUGAUCGAAGCCCCGGUAAACGGCGGCCGUAACUAUAACGGUCCUAAGGUAGCGAAAUUCCUUGUCGGGUAAGUUCCGACCUGCACGAAUGGCGUAAUGAUGGCCAGGCUGUCUCCACCCGAGACUCAGUGAAAUUGAACUCGCUGUGAAGAUGCAGUGUACCCGCGGCAAGACGGAAAGACCCCGUGAACCUUUACUAUAGCUUGACACUGAACAUUGAGCCUUGAUGUGUAGGAUAGGUGGGAGGCUUUGAAGUGUGGACGCCAGUCUGCAUGGAGCCGACCUUGAAAUACCACCCUUUAAUGUUUGAUGUUCUAACGUUGACCCGUGAUCCGGGUUGCGGACAGUGUCUGGUGGGUAGUUUGACUGGGGCGGUCUCCUCCUAAAGAGUAACGGAGGAGCACGAAGGUUGGCUAAUCCUGGUCGGACAUCAGGAGGUUAGUGCAAUGGCAUAAGCCAGCUUGACUGCGAGCGUGACGGCGCGAGCAGGUGCGAAAGCAGGUCAUAGUGAUCCGGUGGUUCUGAAUGGAAGGGCCAUCGCUCAACGGAUAAAAGGUACUCCGGGGAUAACAGGCUGAUACCGCCCAAGAGUUCAUAUCGACGGCGGUGUUUGGCACCUCGAUGUCGGCUCAUCACAUCCUGGGGCUGAAGUAGGUCCCAAGGGUAUGGCUGUUCGCCAUUUAAAGUGGUACGCGAGCUGGGUUUAGAACGUCGUGAGACAGUUCGGUCCCUAUCUGCCGUGGGCGCUGGAGAAGUGAGGGGGGCUGCUCCUAGUACGAGAGGACCGGAGUGGACGCAUCACUGGUGUUCGGGUUGUCAUGCCAAUGGCACUGCCCGGUAGCUAAAUGCGGAAGAGAUAAGUGCUGAAAGCAUCUAAGCACGAAACUUGCCCCGAGAUGAGUUCUCCCUGACUCCUUGAGAGUCCUGAAGGAACGUUGAAGACGACGACGUUGAUAGGCCGGGUGUGUAAGCGCAGCGAUGCGUUGAGCUAACCGGUACUAAUGAACCGUGAGGCUUAACCUUACAACGCCGAAG
rnacentral:rRNA from 1 species